rnacentral:rRNA from 1 species
GUGUCAGCAGCCGCGGUAAUACAGAGGUCUCGAGCGUUGUUCGGAUUCAUUGGGCGUAAAGGGCGCGUAGGCGGCGGGGUAAGUCUGGUGUGAAAUCUCGGAGCUCAACUCCGAAAUUGCACUGGAUACUGCUCUGCUAGAGGGCUGGAGAGGAGAUCGGAAUUCACGGUGUAGCAGUGAAAUGCGUAGAUAUCGUGAGGAAGACCAGUGGCGAAGGCGGAUCUCUGGACAGCUCCUGACGCUGAGGCGCGAAGGCUAGGGGAGCAAACGGGAUUAGAUACCCCGGUAGUCC